UGUUUGUGUGUGUUUCCUGAGUGUACAACCAACCUUAAUACUGCCGUCUUUAGCUGACACAAACUCUAAAUAGUGACUGGAUUUCCAUCUCUGUCCUCCCUCCAUUGUUGUUUACGUUUGUGUCGCUGCGUGGUA